rnacentral:misc_RNA from 1 species
UCCGGUUUGGCACCGGCAGUCCUCCCAGAGUCCCCGCCUUGACGCGCUGGCAACUGGGAGCGGGGGUUGCGCUCGUUGCGGGACUUAACCCAACAUCUCACGACACGAGCUGACGACAGCCAUGCACCACCUGUGAUCCUGCCCCGAAGGGAAGCCCUGUUUCCAGAGCGGUCAGGAACAUGUCAAGCCCAGGUAAGGUUCUUCGCGUUGCGUCGAAUUAAACCACAUGCUCCUCCGCUUGUGCGGGCCCCCGUCAAUUCCUUUGAGUUUCACCCUUGCGGGCGUACUCCCCAGGUGGAUUACUUAACGCUUUCGCUUAGUUACGUACGGUAUAUCGCACACAACGAGUAAUCAUAGUUUAGGGCGUGGACUAC